ACGCACGCUGGCGGCGUGCUUAACCCCUGCAAGUCGAACGGAAAGGCCCUGCUUUUGUGGGGUGCUCGAGUGGCGAACGGGUGAGUAACACGUGAGUAACCUGCCCUUGACUUUGGGAUAACUUCAGGAAACUGGGGCUAAUACCGGAUAGGAGCUCCUGCUGCAUGGUGGGGGUUGGAAAGUUUCGGCGGUUGGGGAUGGACUCGCGGCUUAUCAGCUUGUUGGUGGGGUGGUGGCUUACCAAGGCUUUGACGGGUAGCCGGCCUGAGAGGGUGACCGGCCACAUUGGGACUGAGAUACGGCCCAGACUCCUACGGGAGGCAGCAGUGGGGAAUAUUGCACAAUGGGCGGAAGCCUGAUGCAGCAACGCCGCGUGCGGGAUGACGGCCUUCGGGUUGUAAACCGCUUUCGCCUGUGACGAAGCGUGAGUGACGGUAAUGGGUAAAGAAGCACCGGCUAACUACGUG
rnacentral:rRNA from 1 species